GCUGUUGAAUUUGCUACAAAUUCUUUUAAGAAUUCGUUCAAACAUUUUGCUCCUUUGAAAAGUAAUAGACAUCCAAUCAACGUACGAUGACUUUAUCAGAAGUAAUUAACAUCCAUGUUUUUUAUUUAUCGAAUAUGUUAUAAAAGUUCUUUCGAAGAAAAAAACUCUGCGUUUGUUGAUGUUGGUAGCUGAUCACAACUCAUUCCAUCAUUAUUCCAAAAAUUUCAAAGCACUUCUCUCUUGUUUUCAAGAUAAACAAGGUUUUUUUUUUCCUACCCAAAGAAAAGAAUAGUGGCAGCUGAGUUUCUUCUUACGUUCGCCUUGGAGGAGACAUUUGCAAGGCUGGGUUCCCUUGCUACUGAAGGGAUCAGAGGUGCAUGGGGUUUGAAAGGACAGCUACAAGACCUAAAAGGGUCAGUGACAAUGAACAAAGCUGUACUCCAAAAUGCUGAGAAAAGGAAAGUGACAGACGAGUCGAUGAAGCUAUGGUUGGAGAAGCUUCAAGAUGUGGCUUAUGAUGCUGAAGAUGUUUUAGAUCAUUUGAUGACUUUGCUUAUGAGGUGCUUCGCAAAGACCAACAGAAAAUCUUUACUAUUUGUGAUAAAGAUAGGCUUCCUGCAUCAACCCAAAGCUACUUCAGAUUGUUGAAAUCAAACACUGAUUGAAGUAUCAGGAUGGUUCUGUGAGUCUGUUUCUGCCUAAGUUCUAGCACAAUAAAGUCCCCAAUAUAAGCACCUAAAAGGCCCCUAUGGUGUGUAUCAACUGUUUACACUUAAGAUGUUCUAGCUAGUUUAUCAUUAUGAGUUUUAAAUCUAAGGCUUCUUCGCGCAAAAAAAGAGUAAAGAAAUGUUCAAUCCAAGCCUGAAGAACGUGAUAUUUACUCCAUGGAUGCGGGACAUAGUUCUUAGCAUCCGUCGGAUGAUUCAAUGGAGGCCCGAGCCGUUUGCCAGGAUAGAUAAAGAUGGUGACAGGUACUCAUUCAGUAUUCCAAGCAAUUAUUCUACCGCCAUUUUACAAGUUACACUAAUAGUUUGACUUGGCUGUGUGGCCCCUUCAAAGAUAUUAUUUAGGCGUAGAAUUACAAUGGAAAACACCAGGCAAAUCAUAUCUUGUCGCAGGACUCCCAUAUCCAUGAUGAGUUCCAGUUUCGGCUAGGUAAGGGGCCCCGCUGCUAUACCAACUAUUUUCUUACUCUUAACUAAUUAUGUUUCCACUUCUUAAAUAAUGACAAGUUUCUUCUCAUGAGAGAUACGAUUUUGUUUACCAUUUUUGAAGAAAACAAAGGAAUAUGAUAGUUUUAUUCAUCAUGAGAAGCUUAUGUUACAGUAGGACAUCUAUAUACAAGGCAGAGAUGUCAUUGAUGGGAAAGAUGCUAACUAUCAAUCUCCUAUAAUCUUGGUAUAUCAAAAUCCAUCUAUACUAAUAAUUAUCCUGUCAAUUGUUUACAUAACAGUAGUAAUAUGAAUUGGAAACAAUGUAGUGAUCACAAGCAAGAAUAUGUGAGAUAAUAUAGGAUCCACUGCAACUUUCCUUAGUGGAUGCAAUACUAUAGGAACUGCAGUACCGUAUGAGAUAAUGUAGGAGACAAUAUAGCAUUUUACCCUUCAAUAAUUUUCAUGACAAUGAUUUUCGAGAAUUCUUGCUUCAAAGAUUAAGCGUUGUAUCAUGUCAUAAGAUCAUCAGUGCUCCUGAUAGUAUACGAGAAUCGCAUUCUUUUGUGGAAUUAGAAGUUGUUGGGUGCUGGAGUUUGACUAAUUUUCCAGAGGAUUGCUUAUGUGGCCGCAUCCGAUUGAAAUCAUUAAGAAUCAGUGAUUUCUCAUAGGAGCUGGAGGUUUUCCUGAAGAAGCUCUAAAUUUGAAUGCUGGAUCUCUUGAAAAACUAUGGAUGGGAUAAACUGAAGAGUUUACCGCAUCAACUUCAACACCUAACUUCCCUUACAGAAUUGCAUAUAGAGAUCUUGGACGGAAGCUUUUCCAGAUUGGAUAAGCAACCUUUCCUCUCUUCAGAAGCUUUGUAUUUGUUAUUGUGAGAACGUAAAGUAUCUACCUAGUUAAACAGCCAUGCAAGGACUCUCCAGAUUAUAUUAUCUGUAUACUUCUGAUCAUUUCUUGAGGAAAAUGGUCGCAAGUGCAAUGGCGUUGAGCACCUUAAGAUCUUUCGAUCCGAAGUGUCCACAAGAUUUCAACGGAUGGAACGAAUUCAACUUUUCAGAUUAAACUUGAUUUCAGCAGCUCAUUUUCUCUUGCUAUUUUCAUUGCUCAGUCAUGAAUUUGAGCAGCAUACAAGAACAGACGUACAAGGCUGGCAAUUACAAACAAACAUUAGAGCAUAACAAUGUUGUUUAUCUAUGUGAGAAGUCUGCACCGCGCCUACUGAUCGUAUUUUUCUUCUUUUGGGAUUCUGUUUACUAUCAUGUUUGUCUUGUUAUUGUUUGGUUCUUCAUAAAUUAUAAAUUGCAUAA